UACGUAGGCAGCGAGCGUUGUUCGGAGUUACUGGGCGUAAAGGGUGUGUAGGCGGUUCUUUAAGUUUGGUGUGAAAUCUCCCGGCUCAACCGGGAGGGUGCGUCGAAUACUGAGGGACUAGAGUGCGGGAGAGGAAAGUGGAAUUCCUGGUGUAGCGGUGAAAUGCGUAGAUAUCAGGAGGAACACCGGUGGUGUAGACGGCUUUCUGGACCGUAACUGACGCUGAGACACGAAAGCGUGGGUAGCAAACAGG
rnacentral:rRNA from 1 species